UAUUUAUGAUCAAAAUUGGUCGUACAAUAUAAGAAAACCUAUCCUGACAAUCAUGAGGGGAAGAACUGUGUUCUACUCACAUGGGGACCACCAUGAGCCCUACGCCACUGGAAUCCAGCAAGCCAGACGUCCCCAGCAAUCUCAUUUUUAGCUAGCUCAGACAGCGAUUUGAUGCAUCCGUUACCUUGAGAACAUUCCCAAAGGUCUGCCUGCGCCCUACUGAUGCAAAUCAGUGGACAGAGGACGGCCAGCUCUCUCGUUAUCCAGCUAGGCAAGGGAUGGUCUGGAACCCCUCAUGUUCAAAAGACGUUUUGGCUUCCAAGGAAGAAAACCUUUU
rnacentral:lncRNA from 1 species